rfam:Burkholderia sp. STM 7296 strain STM7296 genome assembly, contig: BN2475_Contig_009
UCGACGAAACAGGGGUGCUUCGCCCACAGGCGGCGUGAUUUUCACACCGCGGCGGCGAGGCUGAGAGAGACCCUUUGCACCCGAUCCGGGUAAUACCGGCGCGGGAAGUUUCCGGAAGCAGCCA